rnacentral:misc_RNA from 1 species
CAGAAUCUACCAGUAGGAGUUCUAGUAAAACUGGACGAGAUACUCCAGAAAAUGGAGAAACUGCAAUUGGUGCUGAAAAUUCAGAAAAAAUAGAUGAGAAUUCAGAUAAAGAGAUGGAAGUAGAAGAAUCUCCAGAGAAAAUAAAAGUACAGACAACACCAAAAGUAGAAGAAGAACAGGAUUUGAAAUUUCAGAUUGGAGAACUGGCAAAUACCCUGACAAGUAAAUUCGAGUUUCUAGGCAUUAAUAGACAAUCCAUCUCCAACUUUCAUGUGCUGCUCUUACAGACUGAGACUCGAAUUGCAGACUGGCGGGAAGGGGCUCUUAAUGGAAACUACCUUAAACGAAAACUUCAGGAUGCAGCAGAACAACUAAAACAGUAUGAAAUAAACGCCACUCCUAAAGGCUGGUCCUGCCACUGGGACAGGACCUCUGGAAGCAACUACUCCUGAUUAACCUCGGUGAAGUUAAGGAAAACUUCGUGGCUGAAGAUGUGAAUGAAGAACAAGAUUACUAUCCUCUGCCAGCAGGUCAGAUGAAAACAUUUCUUUAUAUAUUUGGCUUUUCUUGAUUUUUUUUUCGUUAUUUGAAAUCUUUGCUCUUUUAUUUUUCAGCUCCCAGAUCCUCUCCCUCUCUUUAGCUUUCACUGUGUUUGAUAUCAAGAAUAUGAAAUGUGAAUUCCACGGUCCAAGAGGGGAAGAGUCACCUUUCACAAACUUCGUUGUUCUCUUCUUUGGAAGGGAAAUUAGUGUUCUAGGCGAUUGAGUCCCUUCAUUAAUGAAACUUGAAACCCUGUUAUGCAUUGGCAAAUCAC